rnacentral:rRNA from 1 species
CAAAGGCGAAGGCAUCUGGCUGGGGCGUUCCUGACCCUAAGGCGCGAAAGCGUGGGGAGCAAAGAGGAUUAGAUACCCUCGUAGUCCACGCCGUAAACGAUGUUCACUAGCUGUUUCGAGUAUCGACCCUCGGAGUGGCGAAGCUAACGCGUUAAGUGAACCGCCUGGGAAGUACGGCCGCAAGGCUAAAACUCAAAGGAAUAGACGGGGACUCGCACAAGCGGUGGAGCAUGUGGUUUAAUUCGACACUAAGCGAGGAACCUCACCAGGGCUUGACAUCCUGACGACGGUUUCCCGAAAGGGAUUCCUUCUUUUUAUUAAGACGUCUGGACAGGUGCUGCAUGGUUGCCGUCAGCUCGUGCCGUGAGGCGUUCCCUUAAGUGGGGUAACGAGCGCAACCCCUGUCCUGUGUUAUACGUGUCACAGGAGACUGCCGUGUUAUACACGGAGGAAGGUGGGGAUGACGUCAAAUCAGCAUGGCCCUUAUGCCCUGGGCGACACACAUGCUACAAUGGCCGGUACAGCGGGUUGCCAAACCGUAAGGUGGAGCUAAUCCCCAAAAACCGGUCCCAGUACGGAUUGAGGUCUGCAACUCGACCUCAUGAAGCUGGAAUCGCUAGUAAUCGCGGAUCAGAAUGCCGCGGUGAAUACGUUCUCGAGUCCUGUACUCACCGCCCGUCACACCAAGGGAGCCGGGAACGGGUGAAGUCCGCUUUAGGGUGGAUGAGCCUGAGUUCGGUGACAUGGGUGAAGUCGUAACAAGGCACGCGUAGCGGAAGCUGUGCGUGGAUCA